rnacentral:rRNA from 1 species
GACGAACGCUGGCGGCGUGCCUAAUACAUGCAAGUCGAACGCUGAAGGAGGAGCUUGCUUCUCUGGAUGAGUUGCGAACGGGUGAGUAACGCGUAGGUAACCUGCCUGGUAGCGGGGGAUAACUAUUGGAAACGAUAGCUAAUACCGCAUAAGAGUAGAUGUUGCAUGACAUUUGCUUAAAAGGUGCAAUUGCAUCACUACCAGAUGGACCUGCGUUGUAUUAGCUAGUUGGUGGGGUAACGGCUUACCAAGGCGACGAUACAUAGCCGACCUGAGAGGGUGAUCGGCCACACUGGGACUGAGACACGGCCCAGACUCCUACGGGAGGCAGCAGUAGGGAAUCUUCGGCAAUGGACGGAAGUCUGACCGAGCAACGCCGCGUGAGUGAAGAAGGGUUUCGGAUCGUAAAGCUCUGUUGUAAGAGAAGAACGAGUGUGAGAGUGGAAAGUUCACAAUGUGACGGUAGCUUACCAGAAAGGGACGGCUAACUACGUG